UACGAAGGGGGCUAGCGUUGUUCGGAUUUACUGGGCGUAAAGCGCACGUAGGCGGAUCGUUAAGUCGGGGGUGAAAUCCUGGAGCUCAACUCCAGAACUGCCUUUGAUACUGAGGAUCUUGAGUUCGGGAGAGGUGAGUGGAACUGCGAGUGUAGAGGUGAAAUUCGUAGAUAUUCGCAAGAACACCAGUGGCGAAGGCGGCUCACUGGCCCGAUACUGACGCUGAGGAGCGAAAGCGUGGGGAGCGAACAGG
rnacentral:rRNA from 1 species